UUAUGUUUCGUAAUAUUCCUGCACAUAUACUGAAUAUAGGGAAAAGCAGCUUCUGGAACAAUACAGUCUCUUCAAACUAGGAAUGUUAUAAUCUAAAGCUUUCAUCAUAUAAGGACUCUUAUAUUAUUCUUCAACUAGGAUCUAAACUUUUAUCUGGUUAGCAAAUGUAGAUUUUACCUAGAUUGUCACAUACCUUGCUAGUAAAUGAUUUAUCAAGUAAAGCACAGUAAAGCACAAUGCCAUAGUAUUUGAAGUAUUGUGCAUACAGCACUUGAUAAGUAUAGUACAAAACAUACAUUAAAAGAAACUUGUUUAUAGUAUGUGGCCCACAUGUGACUAAAUUGGAUCUAUGAAGAAUUGUUUGCUUUUGAGGCAUUUCAUUAGAAGGCAAGCCUACCUAGCAUCGCUAUUUCAAGCAAGAUAUUAGAUGCAGUGGAGUCUGCAGAAUUGGACACAGAUUUGUCAGAUGUGGAAUUCAGCACAUCUCGGCCUCAGUGUUCCCAUCUGAAAAUGAAGCCUGGCAUAUAGGGCAUGGAGAAGAAGGCAGAGCAGCAGGUUGGGCAGGGAGCAGAAAGUGGAGCAGCAGAUCGGGCAAAGCAGUGGGACUGGAGUGGCACUGAUUGGUCAGUUUGUGACAUCUCUGCAAAAAAGUGCUGAAUGAUUCAUCAAUCCUUAAUUUAGCAGAAGGUGCACGUGGUGGAUCCAGAGGGGGUUGCAGUGUUGUGUCUGCACCUGUCUUUUGGAUUGGACUUCACUUCUGGGACUUGUGGGAACUUCUGGAGACUUUUUAAAAGCCCCUCAAAGCAGGCUGGAUUGGGGCUUGUAAAGAAAUAUGUCCUUCACUGAAACCCAUGUCAUUCAUCAUAAAUGUAAGCAAUUCUGAUUGUUUUCACCUGUGUGCUCUGCAAUAUCCAGUCAGCUUUGCACAUGGAUGAUGCAACACAUUUGGAACAUAUAUAUGCUACCUCCUGCCAUACCUGAACACUGAGUGUGCACUAAGUCACCAAGUCUCCUCGCAGGUUCUUGGUCUCAGGUACACCUAUUAGCAUGUAUCAGCACUGUUUUAAGGCAGCUACAUUCCUUUAUUUUCUUGGGAGCCAGUGGGUAAAUAUUUCUGGGCAAUGCCUACAGCAUUUGUGGACAUGUAUUGGGUCCAUCAUACCAACAUAAUGCUUGUGUUGAUAUUAGAGGAGUCACACAUGCCAAGCGAUCUGGUGGAACCCUGGCGAGCAUCCAUAAUACUUGAAAUGCUUGAAAUGACUCUGAAUUGCUUUGAAGGGUGAGCAGACAGACAAACAUGCCCUUUGAAGCACCCCAAAAAUGUUGGGAGCACUCCCAAAAUAACCCCAAAGAAAGCAAUAAUUUAUUUGAAGUGCUCCAUUUUGCAGCAUUUCAGGUUACAUGUGUAUGUUCCACAGGCUAGUCAAGGACUCCUUCAUUCCUCCAGCAUCCCAUAGCGCUCUGCUUGAGAGAGGGGGGUUGGAGAGAACAGAAAAUCUGUCAAUGAGCACUCUUGAAUCCUCUGCAGGAGGGUGGAAGUGGAACACACAAGGGAAUGCUCAUUAACAGUUGGGUCCACUCCUCUUCUCUGAUGGAGGGAGGAGCCCCAGGAUCCAGCAAGCUCCUCCUACCUGGACAAUAUGCCCCUGCAUGCAGCUGUAGUGAUUUUCACAUGCCCCAAUGAAGGGACUGGUUGGGGGGAUGCAUGUCUGUUCAUGGCUGAAGCACUCCAUUUGUGAAGCAUUUAAAGCACUUCAAAUGUUAUGUGCGUCUCUACCUGAAGCCACAGGCUCAAGGUCACACAAGGAGGCAAUGGCAGGGUUGAGUCUUCCAGAUUCCAGGUUAGCACUUAGCUACUGAUCCUCCCCAGCCACCACCCCACUCCCCAUUGCUGACAUGCCUGUUGUGCUAACUAAAGUUUAGAAAUGGAAGUCUCACAGAUAGAUUAAAAUUGUAUUUGUACAAGAAACAUAAAAUCAUAAGGCUUUUAUGCCAAAAGGUGAUUUUUUUUCAGUGCACAGAGAAGAUGAAAGGAAGGAACUAAAUCUCAUGAGGAAUAAAACCUCCAGUCAAGACUUUCUCUUAUCAGUGGAUUAUGGCAUUUGUUAAUAGUAACUCUAUUCUUAACGCCAAGAAGAAAUUGCUAUUCUAAACCCCUGAAAUUUUCAUGGUCCCUCAGGGUUUUCUUAUACUCUGCAUUUGCGUUGCACAGGAUCAGGUCCUUAGUGUAGGCUUUUUUGUAGGAUAUUCAAUUGCUAGUUUCUAGCAGUGAUUUAGUUUCAUGAAAGAGCUGGAUUAACAUUGUGGCUAGGGACAUGUAUACAGUGUGAUAAAAAUAAGGAGUAAUUUUGCCUCUCUGCGUGACCUCCAAACAGACCUGACUACUGAGAAACAGAAGGUUCAUUUUAAUAUGUAACCUGUUACUGUUCUGUAUCUAUGAAGAUAAAUGAAUAUCAAUUAGAAUCAAAUUACUUACAAUUAGUUUGAAAAUAAAAUGACCUUUUUUUGGCUUUGACACUAAGCCUGUAGUCAUCAUUUUAUUUAAAACAACCUGCUGCUCCCCCAAGUUUGCUGACAUAAAUUUACCUUAACUUUCUUGUCAAAUGGUAACCAGUCAACAUGAGGUCUUGAGUUCAAUUUUCAAACAUACCAAAAUGAUAAAUAACACCCAAUUGUUAUUUUUCAAAGUGACCCUUUAAAAGAUUUUCAGAGGGACAAGGGUAUUAAGAAGACUAAAUUUCAUUGACAGACAAUGGAUUGAGUUAUAGUCUCCUGCCUGUGGCUUUUGUCCCCCACUGCAGCCUCUGCCCCCCCUUUACCUUCUCCCCCUCUUUUCCUCCCACUGCUUACUGUCAGGCAUGGCUCUUGCUCUGCCAGAACCAGAACCAAAGGGUAAGCAGUGCCAGGGGUUUCAGGCAUGAGGCGGGGGCAGGCUUUGGGGCAUGCAGUCAUGGGUAUGUCUGACAGCACAGGGCAAGGGACAGGGAUCAGGCUGCUUGUGUGCCCCCCCGCCCCCGCCCGCUGUAGUAGUAGAGGAGACCCAUUUAAAGGUGACUUUCCAAUAAUUAGAUUCUAUACACAGAAAAUUAUAACACAUUUAUACUUUUUUUAAUGUAUAUAUUGAUUGGGGGUUGUACUUAAAUUCAAAGUAAUUUUGGAUCCAGGUAAAUGCAGUAGAUUUUUAAAUGGGUGCCACUCAAUUCACAAAAAUCAUGGAGGGAUGCCUUGAGUCUAAAAAAGCUGAGAACCACCGAUCAAUACUAAGAGUUUGGAACCGUUCAACCAUAUCUCUGUAGCUAUGCUGGCUCUAAAACUCAAACGUAGCUCAACACUCCAAUGCAGACGAGGACUAAAUGAGAAUAAAUAAGCUGCCAUCAUCCCUAUAAUCAUUUCCAUUAUUUCCAAACAUUUCUAUAAGCACUCAUAGAGGCUGACUAGGCAGAAUGGAAAAUCUAGGCAGAAUGGAAAAGCGAAAAACAAAAUGAAUCCUUCACUCCAGUAGCAUAGAAACAUACUGAACUACUGAGAAAGACUCAAAAAGACCCUUAGGUAGAAUUUUAUUUUACGAUUAGCUGUUGUGACAGAGCAGUUUGAUAUGUUCCACCAACCUGACGGUAAUUUGUCAGACAAGUUACAGACCUGUACUUCCCUUUUCAUUUAGGAUUAGAUGCCCUAUUUUCUUGACUACAAUAAACUCCUGAUUUGCAAUUCUGAACUCAGCUAAUUGCUUCAGAAUCAUUUUGAACUGGCCUACAGUUUGAGUGCCGGGCAUGCACUAGCAGUGGUAAUUUAAUUUAUGUGUCCAUUUGUUACACAAGUAAAGAUUCUUUCAGGCAUUACUAUUAGUGAUUUUUUUUCGCCUCUAAUACAUAUUUGAGCCCACAUUCACAAGAUAUACUUUCAUGAAUAAAACAUUAGUGAGCCAAUUCUAAUGUCUAUUGGAACAAAGAAAACAAACAUUGCCUUUGGGACAUUGUAUACAAAACAGAGAUGCAUUCAGCCUUGCACAAAAACUGCUUACACAACAAGCGAAAAGUGCUUCCUGAGAAAAGUACUUAAUUUCACCGGUGCUCUUAAAAAUACCUUUGGAAAGCACUGUCUUGAUUAUCGACACACUGAAAUAAAGUCUCACCAGACUAGGCCAGGAAUUUCUGGUAAACAUCCAAAUGAAAGUCCCUGCUGCCUCUGCUCAUAACACUAAAAGGAAGAAAUGUCAGCAAUGAUCAACAGCAGGAUAAUUUUUUUUUAAUAAACUGAGAUUUUCAAAGGGACACAUGAGGCUUAGCUGCUCUACAUCCUAUUGAAUUUCAGUGACAACUGGGUACCUAGCUUCCUUAAUUUCCUUAGGAAAUUCCAGACAUAGUCACAGCUUCCAAACUGUCAAAACCAUUUGGUACUUAGAGGCAGGUAAUUAUAUGGACACAAAUUUAUGAUCAUGUAUUCCUAAUCUCUUUUACUGGAAGGUAUGUCUCAUCUUAAAUGGGAAUCUAGGUCAAGUUCAAGGCCCUUGCAGGUCUGCUAGCUGACACAGCUAACCUGCUUAAGGCAUGAAUCUUUGGCCCACAAAAAAGAGCCUUUGUAUUUAGCCACCUUUGAUUCUCCAGGCCAAAUGAUCAGGCAUACAUUUACUGCUUGGUCAACUGGGGAGCAGGUUUUGGCAUGAAUUGAGAACAAAGCUCAAACCCAUGCCUUUGGAAGUGUUGUGAGCUGCCUUAGUAGUCCUACCACUGUCCCUCCCUCCCAUCACAAACCCUGCCCCCCCACCAUCACUAUACUGGGUGCCCCUCCACUGCUGCACCCUUCCCCUUAUCCCUGCACUAACUUACCCUCCCCACUUGCUCUGGACUCACUUUCGGCUCCCCAUGCAGCACACAACACUUGGGGCAGAGGCAGGAAGCAGAAGCCAGAGGGGAAAACUGGAGAGUCCAGGUGUCUUGUGAGCUAAGAUCAAGUGUAGUCACUGCACUGGUCUGACACCUGAGCCAAAAUGCAUUUAGAAAUGGCACUGUGUAGUGGAGGGUGCACCACUGUCCAAAUGCCAAAUUGGACAGGACUCCCUACAAGAGCCUCAUAGUUAGCUUUCCGCUGGCCAGCUUUCAGUAGGAGGGUCUCGGCUACACACUGACUUUAUGGAAAUGGGAGACUCCUCCCUAGCUUGCUUCUGUGGCUGUAUGGCCGAGGGCAAGCGAAACUCAGGGGCAUCUGAAACCCAAGCCUCCGGGCUUGGGCCUUCAUGAAGGAUGCCUGCCAAAGGAUUUGGAAGUAUUUGAAGCUCCAGGCUGAAAAGUCUGGGGUGGAAGAUACUUGCUGGUAGCCGGGCCACAUAUGUAUGGUUCUUUGAACUAUUCAAAAGGAUUUCGAACUGAUCUGGCUAAUCUGACCCGUAACACAAAAAUUUUUCCAAAAUAUAUAUUUAAAAAAACUACUGCAGCCAGAACAAUGUGGGGAGUGGUGGCCAGGCAGCAGCCCGGUGCUGCAGCUUGACUUACAGGCUGCAAGUAGCCCACAGGCUGGAUAUUACACAGCCAUGGACUAUUUCCAGCUAUCCCUAAUUACCUGCAUGGCUAUGGCUGCCUGAUGAUAAGCAGCAGCACUUUCAUUGCCCAGCAGGCUACUCAAUAGGAAAGGAUUUCUGACUAGCCCUGGGCUUCUGACUCCUUGAUCCUGCUCAUUGGCGUCCCAGUUUCAUCCUUGUUCCUGAUUUCUGUCUGUUAGUUCUUGCAGGUGGCAGGAGCCUUCUGACCCUGUGUGUUCCAGAUCUGUUGGCUCCCAACCCCACCUCCACCUUGCUCUUUAUUGCAGUCUACCCCCCUGUCUUCUGACAACUGGUUCCUGGCUUGUGACUUUAGCUUGGAGAUUGUCUAUGUCCCAGUCUCUUACAGUUACAGCUGCCUGCUCGGGAUCCCUGGUUAGUCACUCUGGUCUGGAUCUCUGCUUCUUGUGGCUGUACCCAGGGUGACUGCCUAUAUCUUGGUCCCUUGCAAACAUUGGCUUCCUAACCCUUCUAACCCCCAAGUCUUUCUCAACAUGUCAGAUAUGCCUACCCCUCUGUGUUAACCACUUUGUAAAGAUUUUAGGACCAGCUAUACUCAAGCCAGAGGGCGUAUGUUAGCCCAAACAGUGUUGCCAGAUUUGAAAAAUAGUUAUAUUUUACUGAGACUUCAGAAUUAUUGUAUUUAAUAACAGUGAUUGUACAUUACAAAAAAAAAGAAAGAAAAUAGUAAUGAAAAUGGUUUUUGUCUUUAAUGUAUCAUCAAAUUUUGAUCAUAUAUUUGCUAUUUUUAGUGUUGUAAAUAAUAUAUUGAUGCUUACAGUCUCUUGUCACCUCUGAAGUUUGAGUGUCCAAUGCUCCCAGUGCUACAUUUAUGUUGAGAAGCAGCCUUACAUGUUACAUGCAUUGUGUCACAACCCAAGGGUGUGAUUUUUUUUUUUGUGUGCGCGCUUCGGCACUGCUGAAUUAUUUUCCUGCUGUUUGUAGCUUUCUUUGCAGGGUGCAUUUCUUCAUUGCAGCACAGAAAUGCACGUUGCAAGGAGUUCCCGCCAUUUGUAUUUAAAUUUGUGCCCCACUAUUGGUCAGUUCUAAAUUAUUCCUAUGUGGCAGCUAGCGAUUGGCUUGCUAGCCGUAUAAGAGGCUUGAGUGGUUUCCACCCAAGUUGGAGAACUUUGAACACGCUGCAGAGUGCCUCUAAGGAGAUUUGACUUGCGGCUAAGCUGAUCGAUAGACUGAUCACCUAUCGAUUCUUUUCCCCGUCGCCGAACGAUCCCUCGACGUACCCUUCCCUGCGCACAAAGUUCCAUGGAGCCUCGAAAACUUCAUGUGAGCGAAUCAGAGUUCUUUCCGAGUCCUUAAACUAGGAUUUAAGUGAAGUAUUCCUGGAAACGUUCCAGCCUACACCACGACCAUCUUCGGUGUAAGUAAACAAUC